UGGGUUCCAUCCCCAGCACAGGGAGAAACACAUAAACGAAGCUCCCAGGUGGCUGUGCUAGUUGACCUUGCCCCUGCUGUCAGUGAGGCCCAGUCUUUCCACGCCUUCACCAGCAUUAGUACUGUCUCUGCUUACUGUAGACAUUCGGAUAGGCGUAUGGUGACAUUCAUUGGUUUGUACUUUUUAUUGUUUGUGGUACUGAAGAUGGAACCCAGGACACUCGACCACUGAGCCACAUCCCAGCCCUUUUAUUUUGUUUUAUUUUUAUUUUGAGACAGGGUCUCAUAAGUUGCCAAGGCUGCCUCAAACUUCAAUCCUCCUGCCGCGGCCUCGUUACUCAGGGCACCCAGCCUUGUGUCUUAUUGGCUUUCCCUGCUGGCUGUCGGUGCUGACGGUCCCCUGGGCUUAUCUGCCAUCUGUGUGAUGAAAUGCCUUGCAUCUUUUGCCCAUUUUCCAGCCUUGUUUUCCUUGUUGGUUUUGGGACCUCUCUUCUAUGUGCAAUUCCUACGUCAGGGGCAUGGGUUGCAAACAUUUUCUCCGUUGUGUGGUUUGUCUUUUCGUUGUCUUAACAGGUCUUUCACGGAGCAGGUGUGUUCAGUCUUGACGAGGUUGCUCUUCUGUGAGGAAGCCGUUCCUCUCUCCUCCCUCUCCUGACCGUAGAUACCCUCCAGUUCAGCUGUGACCAGACAGUCAGGAUGGCCUGGGCCUAGAGACCCCAGCUCACCAGGACCAACCCCUCCUCAGUCAGCAUAGUUUCCAUGGCCCAGACUCCUCUCGGUGACACUUGACUGUCAGUGUCAGAAUGAAAGCAGCCCACUCCACACAGAUGCAGGAGCUUGCUGGCAGCAGGCUGGCUCCGCACGUCAGCCAGGGUCCCGGGCAGCCAUGCUCUGGGAAGGAGCGAGGGGCUGCAGGGAGCUCUCGCUCUCCUUGUCACAAGUGGGUGGUCAGGGCAGCUGCAUGGCUGGAUCUACCUGGGGAAGAAGGCAUGCGACAAGCAGGGUACAGGUCUCCUUUGCCUCUGUCCCCCACUGCCAUGUCCACCUCUGGGUCGCCGUCCUCUGCCUGGAACCUGCUCCCAGGGAGCCCCUCCUCCAGGAAGAGCAGUCUCCCGGUGGCCUUCAGCACUCCUGUCCCCGGGCCUUCUUCCCUGCUCUCCUGUGCACUGCCACCGCCGCCCCCACCCCAUGGCUGCCGGGUGUAUUCACCUGGCCUCUGCCUCCCCCACGGGAGUGUCAGUGAUGAGGGCAGGGGCUGCGGCUGCCUUAGGGCCUGCCCUAUGCCCUUGCACACAGUAGGCAUUUAAUGAAUAUGUGCCGUCAGAUAGAAUAAGAAGUCAGGCUCAGAGGUCUGCGCUGCUGCCGGACAGGGGCCCUGGGCCAGUCCCCUGGUCCCUCUGAGUGUGGAUUCUCCGUCGUGAGUCAGGCUGGUGAGUCGCCCUCCACUGCAGGCCUCCCGUGAACAACCACCCAGGUAUUUACACACCAAGUGUUUAUUACACACCUACAGUUUACUAGAUGCCAGGGGGAUAAUGUCCCUGUCAGAAGUGCAAAGGACCAAAAAGUGAAGCCACCCUGACUGAGACACUGCAUUGCAGGCACCCUAGGGACACGGUCAUUCAUGUGGGACCUGUUCCAUCCUCCAUGGUGGCCUGGGUGACACCCCGUCCCCUCACCCACUCUAAGGGAAAGAUCCAGAGGAAACACCUGGAGGUCAGUGGCCUCUCUGCACAGGCGCCGUGACAGCCGUGGCUGUGAGCCCGGGCAUCUCCUCGCAGACCCCACGGCGCUGCGUAGGAGGAGCGUGGCCUCCCGUGGCCCACCAGCAUUUCUGUGCACGGCUGCACCCUGCUGCCCUGAGUGCCCCUUUGUUAUUGACACUGCACUCGACACCCCUAGAGCGGACAGGCCUGGCCUCUGAUUCCCAAGGGUAGUUGGUCAAAUCAGUGUUCACCCGAGGCCGUGGCUACCUCGCUCUUGUCCUUUUCUUCCCAUUAGUUUGCAAAUCAGCGAAGUCCAUGGGAAGUUCUGAGCAUGAAGGAGCAGGGGUCUGCUGAGGGAGGAGGCAGCUAGUUCUCGGCUUCUCUGAAAACCCUGGGUCACAGACAAGGAAUGGUUAUGGUUAGGGUUAUACCGGCAACAAGCCAGCUGACCGCAUGGCGACAGCAUCCUUGUCCUGGCUGUGGGCUCCACGGCUGUGAAUGGCUGGCCAUGUGAUGCUGUUCAACAGUCCUCAGCCUCUGAUGGCCACUGCCCAGAGGCACCAGGGAGAGCCCCUGGAACCCAGGUCUGGCUGUGGGAAAAGAUGGGAAGAGACGUGCUUCCUGCCUGUUGGACACCUAGAGGUUUCCUGGCAGCACUCACCAGGGCUACUGUGGCAGAAGCCACGGUCCCAGAGAUCCAAGCCCAUGCCCACGUUUGCACUUGCUCCCUACAGACACAACCUGCUGGUCCUCGCUGACACUGUUGCACGCAGGGCCUUCGCCCUGGGGUUGGGAGGUUCCCACUCACUCGCUGAAUGCUGCCGAGGACCCUUAGAGAGCCUGCAACAGGUGCAGCAGACAUGCAUCAGAUGAUGGCCACCCGGGGACGCUGACGGGUGCUCUGAGCAGUCACGGGUGGAGAUGGCAUCUAGAAGCUUGUUUAUUCCCAGCCAAAGGAUGAACCAGCAACUGGCAAAAGGAACAGAUUGGACAAGGCCAGGAGUUUUCCCACAGGGGGCACCUCUGGGGACUGGAACUGACUCCUCUUACACUGCUAAGGACCUGGUUCCCCUUUGUCCCAGAAGCCAGCACAACACAGGCUCCGCAGUGGGGACUAUUUACACUUUGGGGCCCAUUCAAGGCUGCUGGUCUUGCACCAGGAAUGACAUCCUGCCUCAAGCCAUGUGUGACUACCCCGUGGGCAUGUGAUCAGAAGAAUCGAGAUGUCUUCGCAGUGUCCCCCUUCCCAGGAUAGAGAGGAACACUCCCUUGGCCUCCUGUCAAUCCUGGACAAGAGUGAGACUACUAAACAGUCCCAGUACCAGAUCCCUACACACACACACACACACACACACACUCACACACACACACACACGCGCCACUAAUUGGCUCAGGGGUGGGCGUUUGAACCACCCCAGCCAAAGACGUGCUUGUAUCUUGCUGAGUGCUAAGAGAAAAGUAGCCACUGGUUUCCACUGACCUUGAAGAGAGCCAGGUGCUGCUGGAACUGGGAAGGAGGGAGCCUCCCUCUGCAGGAGUCUAGCUCACCCCUGAGUGUGGCCUGGCCAGGGUGGGGAGGGGAAAUCCCUUUCCUGCAAUGUCUAGUGACCAGGCGUUGUGCCUGCAGGCAAAAGAAGACAUUGAAAGGCCCAGAUCCGUUUCACAGAGUAGGCCAUGAAGGGUGAAUUUGAGCUAAAAGGCAGCAAAUUGAUUGAUCUUAAGCAUGAGAGGUGGUGCUUCAGGGAUCUCCAAAGGGGCUUGUGUUCCUCUCCUGGGUGUGAUCUUGCUCAGAGCCCAUUUCUUAAUUUGAGACUUUUUUUUUUUUUUUUUGCCAUGUAGAGAAGCUGAGAAUUUGGGGGAAUGUUUUAUUUUCAAACUCAACAAGUUUUUACUUCUUUGCAUUUUCCUUAAAUUUGCUUUAAAACUAUUGUCUUCUUAGCCCAGCCAGCUCUCUCCCCCUGGGUUGUGAUCCUCCUGCCUCAGCCUCUCAAGUCACUGGGAUCACAGGCGUAGCCACCAUGCCCAACUUGGUGACCUUUUAAUGAAAAGAUGGAAAAGGGGAAUAGCAACUCACAAGUGGACACCAGCAGAUGCCACCUUGCCGUCUCCAAAAUGCCUGCCCAGUGCUCUUCACAGAGUGUCCAGGUCAUGAAAGACCAAGGAUAGAUGGGUGCUGGGAUGAUGCAAGGGGACCAAGGACACAACUAAAGGCAGCACGUGCCGGGUGGAAUCCUGGGAUGGAAAACACAGAGGCAGAGAAACGGCCAAACUAGAUGAGCCUGGAGCUGGGUGGUGGCAGGGCACCACUGCUACUUUCUUAGAGGAAAUGGGUGGGGUGUAGAAACCCCUAUCUUUGUAACUCUUUUGUAAACAAAAAGACUUAAAGCUAAAAGGAUUGGUGUGUGUGUGUGUGUGUGUGUGUGUGUGUGACAGAGUAGUUUCUCAAAAUCACAGCGGCCAUGGCUUUUGCUUAUCAAUCCCCAGUCUGGACAGGGCUGAGCAGAGAGGGCUCACAGGCCUCAGCUCCAAGGCAGUAAUUACCUGGGGGGCUCAUCCAGGGCAGGAGGGUCUGCCUCAAGCUGACCCCCGGGGGGCUGUCAGCCAGGACCCCUGAUAAAGCCAAGGACAGGGCCUUGGGUCGUCCCAUGUGGACCCUCCUCAGGCUGCUUGGGCUUCCCUACGGUAUGGUGCUGGGUCCCAAGCUCUUGUCCAGUGUACCCCGGCCUUGGUGUCACAUGGCCUCACUCUGUCAUACCCCAUGGACAGCCACCAUUGUGCUUGGCCCAAAUUUAAGAGGGGCACAGAGGCCCAGUCCCUGGAUAAGAGGAGUGUUAAGAAAGGAUGGAUGUGAGGGCUGGGCUGGGCCCAGUGGUAGAGCGCUUGCCCAGCAUGUGUGAGGGACUGGGUUCAAUUCUCGGCACCACAUAAAAAUAAAGGAAUAAAAUAGAGGUCCAUCAACAUUUAAAAAAAAAUUUUAAAUAAAGAUGAAGGGAUGGACGUGGUAGGAAAGCAGAACAGGGCUGGCCUCCUUUCUUCCUCGUGUGGCCUGCCGUCUCGCAGCCGACUCGCUCCUCACAGCACCCUGUGAGAGGCGUCUCGGUGCCAGCCCCUGGAAACAAGUCUGGACACAGCUUCGCUCAGGGGCUGGCUGGCCCCAUCCCUAGGUCCUAGGCACAUGGCAGCUGGGUAGGGGAACCCAGUGUGUUCCUAGAGCUUGUUCGUGGUCGGUGGGGGGUUGAGGGGUGAACUCCGCAAAUCCGUCCCCCAGCCGGGCCCUGGGUCCAACCACAGGGCUUUAGCACGUGGGCGGGGCGGGGCAGCAGGAGGCCACGUGGGAGCAACAAGCUACAGUUUUCUGUCUGGAGAAGGUUUUCCAUUUUCACACUUAGAUGCCACCAUUUCCACCACCAGCUCCACGUAUUUUCAACCCUCUGCCCCUGCGUGUCCCUUCUAAGGGGGCCACAUCCCUUCCAUGGUCAGCCUCCCCUCCCUCCCCUGUGCUGGGCUCCGUCAGGUCUUACUUUGACCUAAGAUGCAGUUUGGGUCUGGGCUGAGUGUGUUCUAUCUCGGGGACCCACAGGGAGUGCUGGUCCCUUUCCAGUGUCCACACGUCCACACCUCUUUCCUAGCAGAGCUGCUGGGGUAAAUACUUCAUAUCCUAGCCCUUUAUAAUGAAUGAGGAGCAGCUGCUGAGGUCUCCACUUUUGCACAACUUCAGGAGGUAUCCUUAGUAGGGUGGUGGUAGGAGGAGGGAGACCCUUUCUGCCCCUUCCUCCUCUUUGCCAGCUGAAGAGCAGAUGUGAUGGCUGGCACUCAGGCAACCAUCCUGGACCUUGAGAUAGAAGCUAUAUGCAGAAGAAUGCAGAACCGGAAAAUAGGAAGAACCUGGCUUUCUGACGACUUUGACCCUAGUCCUUGUCUUCUGCUAUGUGAGAGAAAACAGAUCUUUAAGCCACUAUUGUUCUGGGUUUUGUCACUCACAGCUGAUUUGAUCCUAAUGGACACAAGGAUAUCGGAUGGAAAUGGACUUUAAAGAUAAUCCACGAUACAAUCUUGCUUUCCUGAUUCUCUCUCCUUACAGAAGACAUAAUGGGACUUCCAAUUAAUGCCCCUUUUUCUGUUCCUGAGUGUGCUCAUCAGAGAUGCACCCAAGCCCAGCCAGUGAUGGUGGCUCUCCUCCUCCUUCCCCAAUUGCCCCACCCCGAUUCUGCCAGCCUCUUUGGAGAGCCAUGCACCCUCCGUGUCUCCUGGUGUUCAACACUGCUAAAGGCUAUUGGAUUCAUCUUCAGUCAGGAGAAGAAGGAAUCAGCAUAUUUCUGCCUCGUGGGGAGAAAGUGGUUGCACAAGUGCAGGUGCUCUAUGCUGCAGUCACCUCUCCCCGGCUGUGAUCUAAUUUCGUGGCCAGUGUUGGACAAACAGGGCCACCUGGCUCCCUCCCUCCUGCCCCCGGCUCCCUGGCCCUUCAUGCAUUUUUCAUCUGGCCUCACCACUCCUGCAAUUCCUGCCCGUGAACAGCCUCGAUCGCUGAUGAAGCCAUCAAGUCCAGCAAACAACUCUACUUCUUUAACCCCAGGCCCUAUGGCUCUUGCCCCCCCUGUACUGCGUCCCUCCCUUACACACUGCAGCCUGCCGAGGGCUUCCCCCGCCCGGCCCACCCCGUGCUUCUGUCCUUAUUUGAUAUUUGAAGACAAAUAUCUAAGAAACCAGAUUUCGCAUGACAUUUCACCUGUCAUCUUAACACAUAUCUUGGCCAGAAGUCCUUUUUAUUUGUUUUUAAACAAAAUUAAACAGAUUUUAAACAGAUCCCCCUGUUUCCAGGACCUGUAUAAAAG
rnacentral:lncRNA from 1 species